rnacentral:misc_RNA from 1 species
AUUUGAGUUUUUCUCCAAGUCCUGAAAAAGAACAAUGAUUUUCUAUGAACCCUCAAGGGAAUGAAGAAUAAAAGUACCAGCUGUUGAAAUAAUAUGGAAAGGAGACAAAUUUUCAGAUAAUUUGAAAGCAGACUACCAAAUAAAAAUCUCCUAAGCACAAAUACUACUUGAGAAAAUUUUUGACUGAUCCAAAAUAGGAUUUUUAUUUUGACAGGAAUAAAAAGCAGCAGGAUUGCUAAUUUAGGUAGAAGAAGAAUAGGGGAAAAAAGGAGAAUGAAAAGGAAAACCUUUAUAAAAAGAAGCCAAGCCAUGUGAAACAACUUCUAGAUCUCAAAAAACUGAACCUAAUUCCAAAUUCCAAAGAAAUAAUAAGAAAAAUUCACCACCCAAAGAAAUCACAAAAUCACUGAUAAAUGUUCAGGGGCUGAACUUUAAAGCAAUGUCUUAAAGGCUGGAAGCUUAAAAAUCAGAGUAAAGUACCAAAAAAAGAAAAAACCCCAUGUGAUUUACCACUUUUUUAAAUAUGGGUUUGCUUCGUGACAAGUCAGAAGCUUGUGUUUUGUUCCAUUAAACAACUAGCAGCCAAAUGCACUAUCGCUAUUAAAAUUGCUAAUGAGGCAAAGGCAAAAUAAUAAAAAAAUAUUUUAAUUUCUUGAGAAGUCAUAUUUGAUUAUUUAGAUGUUUUGAAAAAAAAUUAACAAUUUUUCAUAAAAAUAAAAAACGUAUAUUUUUUUAUCAAUUCCCCCUGCCACCUCAGCAAUUUUAACAAUGUUAAUGCAUUUGGCUGCGAAUUGCCAAUGAAGCAAGACACUGACUUCUCACCCCAAGGAAAAGAAAAAAAAACCCACACCUCCACUUGAAAAAGCAUUAAACCACAAGAUAUUUUUUGUACUUUAACCAGAGUUCCUUUUGACCCUUGCUUUGUUAGAUAAUGUUUCCAUUUUAUUUCAAAAAGAUAUCAGCAUCAACCACCUCACAAUCAACAAUUCAGUAAGCAAAUUGAAAAAAAAAGGAUCAAAUUCACGAGCAAUCGGUAAGCUUUUCUCAAAGCAACAGCUAUAGACAAGAAAAUAACCCGGAUGUACAAACACUCA